GAGGAAGGUCUUGAGCCGAGUCAAGAGCAGUCUGCAGCUCGAUAACUUGAGACCGAGAUAACGGUUUCGUAAUCGGAACAUCUUGAAUAACUGCAGACUUGUAUCCUUUCGUUUCAAACGUGAGGAAAGGCAUCGGUUGUGUACAGUUAGGAGGGAGCUUUUUGACAAGCUUGAUCUGCAGUCUGUUUGAAGCUAAUCCACCACUGAACUCAGUACAAAUACUAACACUGCUCUUCACCGCUCGAUACAGAAGAGCAACAUCUAAGGAGAAAGCGAUACGGUCCUCGUUCUGGCUCGAGAUACGGUAAUCAUCAAAGAGAACAUCUUUGCGAAACUGAGCAAUGCAUUGAACUCCAUCACCAUUGAGAAGGUUAUGGAGGAAGAACAAG